rnacentral:rRNA from 1 species
ACGCUCGACACCUACGGAGGCAGCAGUAGGGAAUCUUCCACAAUGGACGCAAGUCUGAUGGAGCAACGCCGCGUGAGUGAAGAAGGUUUUCGGAUCGUAAAGCUCUGUUGUUGGUGAAGAAGGAUAGAGGUAGUAACUGGCCUUUAUUUGACGGUAAUCAACCAGAAAGUCACGGCUAACUACGUGCAGCAGCCGCGGUAAUCUGAGCGGGCUGGCAAGGC